GAACGGAGUUAUUAUUAUGAAGUUUUCGGAUGGAUUGAUAAUAACUUAGUGGCGGACGGGUGAGUAACGCGUGGGUAACCUGCCUCAUACAGGGGGAUAACAGCUGGAAACGGCUGCUAACACCGCAUAACAUUGCGUUGUCGCAUGACAGUGCAAUUAAAUAUUUAUAGGUAUGAGAUGGGCCCGCGUCUGAUUAGCUAGUUGGUGAGGUAAUGGCUCACCAAGGCGACGAUCAGUAGCCGGCUUGAGAGAGUGACCGGCCACAUUGGGACUGAGACACGGCCCAAACUCCUACGGGAGGCAGCAGUGGGGAAUAUUGCACAAUGGGGGAAACCCUGAUGCAGCGACGCCGCGUGAGUGAAGAAGUAUUUCGGUAUGUAAAGCUCUAUCAGCAGGGAAGAAAAUGACGGUACCUGACUAAGAAGCCCCGGCUAACUACGUGCCAGCAGCCGCGGUAAU
rnacentral:rRNA from 1 species